rnacentral:lncRNA from 1 species
AUGACGUUUGGAUCAUUAUAUGAGGCAGAAUCAGAAGGAUAUCCUUUCUGCACAGUAACCUUCUAAAUUUCCACUGGGCGGCUGCGGGAACUUCAACUGGCGGCAGGGGUUCGUUUUUCCAACCAACUAAAGCAUCAAAGGCAUUAAAGUGAAUUUUGGUUCCGCUGCUUAUAUGCUUAAGAACCAAGGCACUGUCACCGAAUAUCAUUUCUGGCAAGUGA